GAUGAACGCUGGCGGCGUGCCUAAUACAUGCAAGUCGAGCGAACAGACGAUGAGCUUGCUCCUCUCACGUUAGCGGCGCGCGGGUGUGUCACGCGUGUAUAACCUCCCUAUCAGACUGGGAUAACCUCGGGACACCGGCGCUAAUACCGUAUAAUAUAUUGAACCGCGGGGUUCAAUAGUGAGAGACGGUGUUGCUGUCACGUAUAGAUGGAUCCGCGCCGCAUUAGCUGGUUGGUAAGGUAACGGGUUACCAAGGCAACUAUGCGUAGGCGACCGGAGGGGGUGAUCGGCGACACUGGAACUGAGACACGGUCCAGACUCCUACGGGAGGCCGCAGUAGGGAAUCUUCCGCAAUGGGCGAAAGCCUGGCGCAGCAACGCCGCGUGAGUGGUGAAGGUCUUCGGAUCGUAAAACUCUGUUAUUAGUGAAGAACAAAUGUGUAAGUAACUAUGCACGUCUUGACGGUACCUAAUCAGAAAGCCACGGCUAACUACGUG
rnacentral:rRNA from 1 species